AUCAGGUAAUUCUGUUCCAAUGCUCUCUAGUGACUUACAUGGUUUAACUGGAGGCCUGUACUUUCUUUAGGCAGAACUGUUCCACUGGAAAGGAAGACGGAGGCAGUGGGCUCUGGGAGCAAAUAUCAAAACACACACUUCUGUGACGUGCAUUUGCUAUGGCAACAAAAUCAACAGAGGGAGCUGAAGGUCUCCUAAUUGGAACGUCAUCCUUCCUGAAGCACCAAACCUUGCAGAAAAGGGCCAAUUCCCUUUCAUGGGAAAAAGAGAUGUGGCGUAAUCCACCACAGAGAACAGAACAACUCCAGCCAUCUAUGGUUCAAGACCUGAUGAAAGAGUUCCUAAGUGCAAAGGGCACAGGGGCUGUGAGACAUCUGUAUUUCUGAGCACCAACUUCAGCCUUGAUGAGGUGAGACCUUCACAUUUACAAAGGUGAAUGAGAACAGCCUCUCUGACUUCUCCUCUCCAUGUACUCCACGGCAGGCUCUCGCUGGCUAGAAUGGAGAGCUGCUUCCUUGGCCUACUUAAGCUACUUCUCUUUUUGUCUUCUAAUUAGUGUUACUGCUGCU
rnacentral:lncRNA from 1 species